rnacentral:rRNA from 1 species
AGGGCCUCUUCGGAGGCACAGGCAGAAUGCUCAGUAACACGUCAAUAAUCUGCCCUUGGGUUCGGUAUAACCUUGGUAAACUGAGGCUAAGACCGGAUAAAUGAUUUCUACUGGAAUGUGAUUUCACUUAAAGGUAACGCCCAAGGAUGAGUUGGCGGCUGAUUAGGUUGUUGGUAGUGUAAAGGACUACCAAGCCAACGAUCGGUACGGGCCGUGAGAGCGGAAGCCCGGAGAAGGGUACUUAGACACUGACCCUAGCCCUACGGGGUGCAGCAGGCGCGAAACCUUUACAAUGUACGCAAGUGCGAUAAGGAAACUUCCAGUGCUCAUGCAUUGCAUGGGCUUUUGCCAAAUGUAAAAAGUUUGGCGAAUAAGUGGUGGGCAAGACGGGUGCCAGCCGCCGCGGUAACACCUGCGCCACUAGUGGCAAUCGCGUUUAUUGGGCCUAAAGCGUCCGUAGCCGGAUAGGAAAGUCUUGAGUGAAAUUGUUGCGCUUAACAAAACAGCGUGCUUGAGAAACUAUCUGUCUAGGAACCGGGAGGAGUUAGGAGUAUUUCUGAGGGAGCGGUAAAAUGUUAUAAUCUCAGGAGGACUACCUGUGGCGAAGGCGCCUAACUAGAACGGGUUCGACGGUCAGGGACGAAAGCUAGGGGAGCAAAACGGAUUAGAUACCCGAGUAGUCCUAGCUGUAAACGCUGUGAACUAGAUGCGACAUGUUCUAUAUGGACAUGUGGUGUCGGAGUGAAGACGUUAAGUUCACCGCCUGGGAAUUACGGUUGCAAGACUGAAACUUAAAGGAAUUGGCGGGAGAGCGCUACAAGGAGUGCGGCGUGCGGUUCAAUCUAAUUCCACGCAGAGAAUCUCACCAGUAGCGACGGUAGAAUGAAGGUCAGAUUAAAUGUCUUACCUGACGAGCCGAGAGGUAGUGCAUGGCCGUCGUCAGCUCGUGCCGUAAGGUGUCCUCUUAAGUGAGGUAACGAGCGAGACCCAUAUCUAUAAUUGCUAACGUGUCCUUUUGGACGUAUGAGCACUUUAUAGAAACUGCUGUGGAAACGCAGAGGAAGGUGUGGGCGACGACAGGUCUGUAUGCUCCGAAUCUACUGGGCUACACGCGCGCAACAAUGGCAAGAACAAUGGGAUGCUACACCGAAAGGUGCGGCUAAACCUCGAAAUCUUGUCUUAGUUUAGAUUGAGGGCUGGAAUUCGCCCUCAUGACAACGGAAUUCCUAGUAA